GUGGCGAACGGGUGAGUAAUACGUGAGCAAUGUGCCCUUGACUCUGGGAUAAGCGCUGGAAACGGCGUCUAAUACCGGAUACGACCAUCGGAGGCAUCUCCUGGUGGUGGAAAGAACUUCGGUCAAGGAUCAGCUCACGGCCUAUCAGCUUGUUGGUGAGGUAAUGGCUCACCAAGGCGACGACGGGUAGCCGGCCUGAGAGGGUGACCGGCCACACUGGGACUGAGACACGGCCCAGACUCCUACGGGAGGCAGCAGUGGGGAAUAUUGCACAAUGGGCGCAAGCCUGAUGCAGCAACGCCGCGUGAGGGACGAAGGCCUUCGGGUUGUAAACCUCUUUUAGCAGGGAAGAAGCGAAAGUGACGGUACCUGCAGAAAAAGCACCGGCUAACUACGUGCCAGCAGCCGCGGUAAUACGUAGGGUGCAAGCGUUGUCCGGAAUUAUUGGGCGUAAAGAGCUCGUAGGCGGUCUGUCACGUCUGCUGUGAAAACCCGAGGCUCAACCUCGGGCUUGCAGUGGGUACGGGCAGACUAGAGUGCGGUAGGGGAGAUUGGAAUUCCUGGUGUAGCGGUGGAAU
rnacentral:rRNA from 1 species